GUGAAUCAUCGAAUCUUUGAACGCAAAUUGCACUCUCUGGUAUUCCGGGGAGUAUGCCUGUUUGAGGGUCAGUUUAAAUCAAAAUCGUUGUGGGUGCUGCCUCUCGUGGUGACGCAGCGGAUUUGAGUUGUAUUGCCUUCGGUUAAUUGACCUUAAAUGUUGCGGGAUUUUUUUCGAAGGGAGUUAAAUGAUUUUACGUACGUUUGCGAAAUCGAAUUCUAG
rnacentral:misc_RNA from 1 species